rnacentral:rRNA from 1 species
AGUGAACGCUGGCGGUAGGCCUAACACAUGCAGGUCGAACGGCAGCACAGUAAGAGCUUGCUCUUACGGGUGGCGAGUGGCGGACGGGUGAGGAAUACAUCGGAAUCUACUUUUUCGUGGGGGAUAACGUAGGGAAACUUACGCUAAUACCGCAUACGACCUACGGGUGAAAGCAGGGGAUCUUCGGACCUUGCGCGAUUGAAUGAGCCGAUGUCGGAUUAGCUAGUUGGCGGGGUGAAGGCCCACCAAGGCGACGAUCCGUAGCUGGUCUGAGAGGAUGAUCAGCCACACUGGAACUGAGACACGGUCCAGACUCCUACGGGAGGCAGCAGUGGGGAAUAUUGGACAAUGGGCGCAAGCCUGAUCCAGCCAUACCGCGUGGGUGAAGAAGGCCUUCGGGUUGUAAAGCCCUUUUGUUGGGAAAGAAAAGCAGCAGGUUAAUACCCCGCUGUUCUGACGGUACCCAAAGAAUAAGCACCGGCUAACUUCGUG